CGCUGGCGGCGCGCCUAACACAUGCAAGUCGAACGAGCGAGAGAGAGCUUGCUUUCUCGAGCGAGUGGCGAACGGGUGAGUAACGCGUGAGGAACCUGCCUCAAAGAGGGGGACAACAGUUGGAAACGACUGCUAAUACCGCAUAAGCCCACGGUGCCGCAUGGCACAGAGGGGAAAGGAGCAAUCCGCUUUGAGAUGGCCUCGCGUCCGAUUAGCUGGUUGGUGAGGUAAUGGCCCACCAAGGCGACGAUCGGUAGCCGGACUGAGAGGUUGAACGGCCACAUUGGGACUGAGACACGGCCCAGACUCCUACGGGAGGCAGCAGUGGGGAAUAUUGCACAAUGGGGGAAACCCUGAUGCAGCGACGCCGCGUGGAGGAAGAAGGUCUUCGGAUUGUAAACUCCUGUUGUUGAGGAAGAUAAUGACGGUACUCAACAAGGAAGUGACGGCUAACUACGUGCCAGCAGCCGCGGUAAAACGUAGGUCACAAGCGUUGUCCGGAAUUACUGGGUGUAAAGGGAGCGCAGGCGGGAAGACAAGUUGGAAGUGAAAUCCAUGGGCUCAACCCAUGAACUGCUUUCAAAACUGUUUUUCUUGAGUAGUGCAGAGGUAGGCGGAAUUCCCGGUGUAGCGGUGGAAUGCGUAGAUAUCGGGAGGAACACCAGUGGCGAAGGCGGCCUACUGGGCACCAACUGACGCUGAGGCUCGAAAGUGUGGGUAGCAAACAGGAUUAGAUACCCUGGUAGUCCACACUGUAAACGAUGAUUACUAGGUGUUGGAGGAUUGACCCCUUCAGUGCCGCAGUUAACACAAUAAGUAAUCCACCUGGGGAGUACGACCGCAAGGUUGAAACUCAAAGGAAUUGACGGGGGCCCGCACAAGCAGUGGAGUAUGUGGUUUAAUUCGACGCAACGCGAAGAACCUUACCAAGUCUUGACAUCCUGCGACGGUGCUGGAAACAGUACUUUCCUUCGGGACGCAGAGACAGGUGGCGCAUGGUUGUCGUCAGCUCGUGUCGUGAGAUGUUGGGUUAAGUCCCGCAACGAGCGCAACCCUUAUGGUCAGUUACUACGCAAGAGGACUCUGGCCAGACUGCCGUUGACAAAACGGAGGAAGGUGGGGAUGACGUCAAAUCAUCAUGCCCUUUAUGACUUGGGCUACACACGUACUACAAUGGCGUUAAACAAAGAGAAGCAAGACCGCGAGGUGGAGCAAAACUCAGAAACAACGUCCCAGUUCGGACUGCAGGCUGCAACUCGCCUGCACGAAGUCGGAAUUGCUAGUAAUCGCAGAUCAGCAUGCUGCGGUGAAUACGUUCCCGGGCCUUGCACA
rnacentral:rRNA from 1 species